GCGAGGCGAUGCCAGCAAACAUCGAUCCACUGAGCAAACUGUACAUUAACAAACUCCUCCUCCGCGACCUGAUGACAGGAUGAAAUUUACUCCGAGCAGACAGAAGGCAGUCAGUUUAUUAAAGAGACAGGGUUUUGCUGAUCACAGGCACUUCGCUGGGGAGGAAGAGAAACACCUCGUUUCUACCAUCGGCCCUGGAGUGCCACCCGUUUUGGACCCUUCUCCACCUCCAAAUCGGACGGACACCCUUCUGGAUAGCUCAAGUUCCUGUGCACUGGAAGAAAUGGGAAAGAGACGGAACCCAGCGGAACCCCUUUUUCUGAUCAGGGCAUUUUCAGGUGUUUGGCGGUGAUAGGCAGAUGAAGGCUGGAGCUGUUUGUAUGCAAUGAAAAGGAAUGCCUGGAAGUGGAGAAGAGGCUGUGGAAAGUGCUGUGAAGAGGCUUCAGUGUCUGGAGCAGAUGCAAUGUUCUUGAUUUCCUAAUCAUACCAAGAGAUUGGAAGCAUGCCACGGGCUUGUGCAGUUUCCCCUUCGCAUCUCAAAUUCUUCCACUUCAGUUCCUGUUUUGUUUGAAUCAUUGGAGGACCCUGAAGACAUACUUAUUUUCCUAGGCCUUCAGCUGAGACUAAACUUUUAAAUUUUAAUGUGUUUUUAUCUAUUAUUUGUAUCUUUUCAUGAAUUUUAUACUAUAUUUUGUUUUAAUUCUGUACACUGCCUUGAGAUUUUUAUACAAGGAGGUAUAUAAAUUUAAUAAAUAAAUAAAUAUGUUGUACUUACAUACA